rnacentral:rRNA from 1 species
AUUGAACGCUGGCGGCAGGCCUAACACAUGCAAGUCGAACGAGUGGCGGACGGGUGAGUAAUGUCUGGGAAACUGCCUGAUGGAGGGGGAUAACUACUGGAAACGGUAGCUAAUACCGCAUACCAUCGGAUGUGCCCAGAUGGGAUUAGCUUGUAGGUGGGGUAACGGCUCACCUAGGCGACGAUCACUAGAUGGUCUGAGAGGAUGACCGUCCACACUGGAACUGUGACACGGUCCAGACUCCUACGGGAGGUAGCAGUGGGGAAGAUUGCACAAUGGGCGCAAGCCUGAUGCAGCCACGCCGCGUGUAUGAAGAAGGCCUUCGGGUUGUAAAGUACUUUCAGCGGGGAGGCGUUACCCGCAUAAGAAGCACCGGCUAACUCCGUGCCAGCCGCCGCGGUAAUUC